CCCAUGUAUAUCCAGUAGUGGAUUCAUAUAAUUUGUACUAUUUAACGCGAUAUCUUGACUGCUUAGAAUAUAUUGCUUGAUAAGCAGUCUACCUUUAAAUUUCAUUUCAAAAUUCAUGUUUUUAUCGGGGACAUAAGCUUGGGAACAUUUUUCAGAAAGGAGUUGGAUAAGGAACUAAAUUUUGUAGAGCCUGUGAAACAAUGGGUCGUUUCAAGGGGAACACAGUGCGAAGUUGUUAAAAUGGAGGAAACACAGCAGUUGCUCUUAGCAAUCCCUCUUCAUGACAUCUGGUGAAAGAGGGGUAGCCAGGAUAAGGUGCUAUUCAGCUUUUUGACAAUACCUAUUACUAAUGUUAGAGCCCCCAAAUGUUCACAUUUCUAGGACAUCCGUAGUGUGCCUCAUGUUUCUUCUAUUGUAAUGUGAAUCUAGAUUCGCAGCGGCAUACUGGUUGGCAAACAAGUUGGCUUGCUCAACCAUUAGCUCAAAUGUCAUAGCUCAAAGUAUUUUAGUGACUCACAAGCAUCCACGAUUACUGUGAUGCCAAGUAAUUCUGCAAAUUGGGGUAUUUCCAGAGCCAUCAGGUUUGGGGGUACCUAGUUUUCCUUGGGCCCUUAGCUUCCCAAGCGUCCUCUUGUUGAUGAGGGUGGGGAACCAUUACUUGAGGAUUUACUCAUGGGCCUCAAUGUCAGAGGCAAUGAUAGUGUCACUGUCUACCAGAAUGACGUACGCCUUCUCCACUGUAUAGUAAUAUGCAAUUAUAGGGGGAUUAAAUGUACUUUAUUAAAUACAAAAGAUGAUACUGCACUCAGAAAUUUGGAAUAAAGUUCAUUACAAAAUUUAAUAA